CCUCAGCAGUCUGGUUUUGCAGUACUUGCUGUUGCAAUGUAGAAAGCCUUUUAUUCAGUUAGUUCUCUGCAACUAACUUGUUUAUUCCUUAGAUCUACCAACAGAGAAGGCAGCUACUGAAAAGCCCAUGCUUCCUGAGCUGGAUGAAUAUGCUGAAGUUGAACAGCUCAAACUGAAGAUACCAGAGAAACUUUAUCUUGACGAGCUGCCUGAUUUAGAAGAUAUAGAUGUAAAUGAAUUUCCCCCAGAAGAGGAAAUCUUUGUCCAAAAGCAGGAAUAUCACCCAAAGAUUGAAAUAAUUUCUGAAAUGACAAAUGACAGCAAUUCUGCAUUGGAGGAAAACAAUGAAAGCAUGUUUGAGAAUUCAGGAGAAGUUCCAACAGCAAUUUUUUCAAAUGUGUAUAAGAUAUAUAAAGAGCAUGAGAAGGAGCACUUGAGACCCCUUGUUGAAAGCUUCUUUACAGAGCCUGCUAAUUCAGAAAGAUACCUGGAGAUCAAAGAUAAACAAGACACCCCCUUGAAACCCUUGAUAGAAGAGGUUGUCACUGAGCCCAAGGAUAAUCUACUAUUGUCACCAGUCUUCAAUCAACCAGAUGACCCAAACCCAGGGGAAGAGGAUGGUAAGAUUACAGUUACCUGCCCUGGUUAAGAUUACAGUGACAUAGUUAAUCCCAGAGAAAAAGGUGGGUGGCACAUACACACUGAAAGUAAGGAUUUGUUCAGCUCUUGUUGAAAAAAAAAUUCAGUCCACUGUUAGUUAACAAUCACCUCUUCCUUUUAUUUAUGUGGGAAUCCUAGUAAAUUAGGAAUUAAAGUGUUAUCUUUGCUUUUUCAACAGAGGAUUUCUUACUGAGUUUUAUUUAAAUACUUAAAAAAACCUGGGCUCUACAUUUCUUUUUCCAGUAUUAAAGACCAGUGAGUUUCAUUUGCCUUUUCCUUUAUGCUUUUAACAGGGAAUGGCAGUGAUGGAGAAGUACAGUGUCUGUCUGAGGGUGAAGGAUGCCCUCACAAAGCACAAGAUGGCAAGGACAGGGAGAGUGGAUUAGAUUAAUCACUUUGAAAAAACAGACCAAAUGUGGAGCACAGCGCCUGGCUGGCUGCAUGUGGUUAUUCUCAAAAUGCAGAGCUCAGCAGUGGGAGCAUUAGUUAAAACUGAUGUAACACUUACUGUGAUAUAAACCCCACUGCCCUCAACAGGAGGAGUUAGUGUUUCAGUCAAUCAGAGGCUGCAGGGCAGAACUCGUGGUUGUGUCAGCAUGAAAAAAGCCCGUAAAUCCCCUGCAACCCACAGGCAGCAAGUGCCUUGUGCUCCCGCUGCCAGAGCAGCUCUGAGCUCCUCAGGGCAGCCGGCAGCACCCACUGCUUUGAUAGUGAAGGCACUACUGGUUUAAGGUUAAAUUCCACACUCAUGACUUUUUUUUCCUUUGCAUCCUUCUAGAAAUUACUUAGUUAAACAUUUCUAUUUUGGGGGUUUAUUAGAUACAUAGUUUCAAUGCAUAAUGUAAUGUUUCUGUCAUUUGAACUAAAUAAAGAUUCUACUUGUGACCA
ensembl:lncRNA